CGAAUGGGCCCAAAGACUCUUAAAACCUACCGUGCUCCCCUACGUGGAAAACAGGAAAGCCCUCCGGGGCAUAGGAAAUCUGAGAAGUUGAGAACUGCGCCCCGGCGCAUGACUAAAACAAAAAAUUA
rnacentral:misc_RNA from 1 species